GACGAACGCUGGCGGCGUGCUUAACACAUGCAAGUCGAACGGUAAGGCCCUUCGGGGUACACGAGUGGCGAACGGGUGAGUAACACGUGGGUGAUCUGCCCUGCACUUCGGGAUAAGCCUGGGAAACUGGGUCUAAUACCGGAUAGGACUCCUGGCUUCAUGGUUGGGGGUGGAAAGCUUUUGCGGUGUGGGAUGGGCCCGCGGCCUAUCAGCUUGUUGGUGGGGUAAUGGCCUACCAAGGCGACGACGGGUAGCCGGCCUGAGAGGGUGACCGGUCACCCUGGGAGUGGGGUACGGCCCGGACUCCUACGGGAGGCAGCAGGGGGGAAUAUUGCACAAUGGGCGCAAGCCUGAUGCAGCGACGCCGCGUGAGGGAUGACGGCCUUCGGGUUGUAAACCUCUUUCAGCUAUGACGAAGCGCAAGUGACGGUAGUAGCAGAAGAAGGACCGGCCAACUACGUGCCAGCCGCCGCAGUAA
rnacentral:rRNA from 1 species